UCCUUGGGUGCCAGGUGCCGAACUGAGCACCCUGAAUGUAACAUCUCAUUUAAUGCUCCCACGGCACUCAGAAGGAAAGGCCAUUAUUCUUCCAUUUUGCAGAAGAGAGAACGGAGACCUAGUGAGGUUGGCACAAGGGAAUAUACUACUGAGUUCCGAUGGUGAGAAUUUGGAGAGCAGGGAUGGAGGGAGCAAAGGAUUACCAUAACUGAUCAUCAGUGAAGACUAUAGUGACAUGGUGUCAAGCACUGUGCAUAAGUUGCAGCUGAAAAUGACCCUUUGGAUUGUCUUAAACAUGGAUGAACAUGGAAGGAAACUAGAUAUUUGGCAAAUUUUGGCUUCAAGCACUGUCCCCAUGGCACUUGCACCAACCACAACAUGGAGGCCAGUGACCCUCAAUUUCAACUGUGUUUGAAGACCACAUCAAUAGGUCUUUCAUGCAAACUAAUAAUAGGCUUGGA